CCUACGGGAGGCAGCAGUGAGGAAUAUUGGUCAAUGGACGCAAGUCUGAACCAGCCAUGCCGCGUGCAGGAUGACGGUCCUAUGGAUUGUAAACUGCUUUUGUACGAGAAGAAACACUCCUACGUGUAGGAGCUUGCCGGUAUCGUAAGAAUAAGGAUCGGCUAACUCCGUGCCAGCAGCCGCGGUAAU
rnacentral:rRNA from 1 species